rnacentral:tRNA from 1 species
UAUUACUUUGGCAGAUAAUUGUGUUAAAUUUAGAAUUUAAUUAUAUAAUAUAAUAUUAUAGGUAAUAA